ACACGUACUGUGCGAACGUUAUUCGGAAUCACUGGGCUUAAAGGGUACGUAGGCGGCCUAUCAAGUCAGGUGUGAAAUCCCACGGCUCAACCGUGGAACUGCGCUUGAAACUGAUAGGCUUGAGAGAGACAGGGGUGUGUGGAACUUCUCGUGGAGCGGUGAAAUGUGUUGAUAUGAGAAGGAACACCGGUGGCGAAGGCGACACACUGGGUCUUUUCUGACGCUGAGGUACGAAAGCUAGGGGAGCGAACGGGAGUAGAAACCCCAGUAGUCC
rnacentral:rRNA from 1 species